UGGUGUAAACUCUUCUGGGACUGUACAGUAUUCUGCUGCCUUGGCUGAAAACGCAUUGCCUAGCUCCUGAUUUAAAAUUCCUACAUCUAAAUAGCACUUUUGCUGGAUGGAAUCAUCGGAGUUCAAAGUGCAGUGGAAGAAAUCAGCUAUGACUCAGCUCUCAUUAGCUAAAUAAAUCAGCAGAGGACAUCA
rnacentral:lncRNA from 1 species